GACGAACGCUGGCGGCGCGCCUAACACAUGCAAGUCGAACGGAGCGUACUGAGUGAAGCCCUUCGGGGUGGAACCUGGUAUUGCUUAGUGGCGAACGGGUGAGUAACACGUGAGCAACCUGCCCUAAAGUGGGGGACAACAUCUGGAAACGGAUGCUAAUACCGCAUAAGACCACGGAACCACAUGGUUCUGAGGCCAAAGGAUUUAUUCGCUUUAGGAUGGGCUCGCGCCUGAUUAGCUAGAUGGUGAGGUAACGGCUCACCAUGGCGACGAUCAGUAGCCGGACUGAGAGGUCGAUCGGCCACAUUGGGACUGAGACACGGCCCAGACUCCUACGGGAGGCAGCAGUGGGGAAUAUUGGGCAAUGGGCGAAAGCCUGACCCAGCGACGCCGCGUGGAGGAAGAAGGUUUUCGGAUUGUAAACUCCUGUCUUCGGGGAAGAUAAUGACGGUACCCGAGGAGGAAGCCACGGCUAACUACGUGCCAGCAGCCGCAGUAAAAC
rnacentral:rRNA from 1 species